rnacentral:rRNA from 1 species
GUGCGUCGAUGUCCGGCGUUCGUCGUCGUANACUUCUUCUCUAAUAGAACGUCGCGAUCCGCUGGGUGUUGGUCUACGGNCCGGGUGCGGUGACUGACGCAUCGCCGGUAAAACGGCACGCGUCAAACCCUCGAUCGCCCGGCCGGCUGCCCGGCGGUACACGCAUGAUAUCAGGCCACAUCUUUCAUUUGGCGACGAGUGCGUCGAGGCCAUCGCAAGCGCGCGCCAUAGUACACGGAGGCUAACGGACCUAGUGCCGUCACCGGUCCUGGCCCGCUGUUGGUCGUACGGUUAACUUUCGACAGGCCUACCUACGUUCCAAGAAACUUGUGUCUCGGGGAACCGAUACCGGUCGGCGACGUUACUGCUUUGGGUACUCUUUGGACCCGUC